GUGGGAGGGGGCUUGCUCCCGAUGGCAGAGUGUCAGUCGACAUCUAGGUGACUGAUCCACCGCUAUCGGGAGCAAGCCCCCUCCCAC
rnacentral:antisense_RNA from 2 species